rnacentral:ncRNA from 1 species
UAAAGCACCUUUACAUAUAGCUUAGUUCCCCGAUAUAAGGCAUAAUGCCCUACAACGUAGCGGUGCCUCAUGAUUAGAAAGUUAGAUCAUGUCUAGAAUUCCUAAUCAUGAGCCACUUUAAUCGCUAUCCCAUAUUUAUUUAGGGAAUGGGACUCUUCACCGAGGUUGUAAAAUGAGACAAACAAUUUUAGCUGUAU